CAUUAAUUUCCAGUGUAAUUGGAUUAUUACUGACCGUGUGUAUUUGUGUGGCUGCAGAAGCUGAAGGAGUAUCUGGAAGGCAGUAAUCUCAUCGCUAAACUACAAGCCAAACAUGACAUGCUGAAGAGGAGCAUAGCUGAAGGAUACAGAGCAGACAUCAUGACAACCAGCCGUCGACGAAACUCCCACAGCAGGCACCAGG
rnacentral:lncRNA from 1 species